ensembl:lincRNA Gm26840 predicted gene, 26840
AGGUUGGAAACUCUGUGGCCUCCUCUCCUGAAGGCUUGUCCUGGGUCUUAUGUCCUCAACCUGACCUCAGACACUGUCCAUCCCCUCGCCAAGAGUUGCCCAAGGACCACCGUGUGCUCAACUCCACUGGCAACCGGAGAGGACCGCCAUUGCGCGUGAGGCUACCCGGGUUUCCCGGAAGUCAGGCAAGGGCGGCGAUGACCAGUGGGGAAACGACGAAAGGAAUUAACGCUGGUCAAAGGCAGGACCGGCAUCCCAUCUCCCCACCCGACUCCAUCCACAAGAAAACCCACGAGCAGCAGUGCCUCUCUCUCCGGGCUAGGGAAGAGGGUCCCCGGGUGGACGAGCAGGCAGGCAGUUCAGGGCUCCCGCGGUCCAGCCUCCGGCCGCAUGGACUGCGGAGCACGGGUCCGCGCGCCAGAGGCCGUACAGGCCUUAGCCGACAGCGCCCUCUGGCGGCCGGAGCGGAAGGCGGCAGUCACAGUCACCAGGUGAAGCAAUGGACUCUGAGCCCAUGGGACAACAAGAGAGGAUGGGAGAGCAAAAGUGAAGAGAUGGGGAAGACCACACACUGAACAGCCCUUCCUGCCCAUAAGAGGGCCAGACUGGAGUCCUGACUGGUUACAGAUGACAUCACCCCUCCCCUCCCCUGGCCCCCAUCCCCUGCUUCAUCUGUACCAAGAAAGCAGUAUAUACACAUCCGCAGCAGCCUGAGGACCCAACCAUUGUCUAGCGAGCCUUCCCUUUUAUCCCCUUUUCUUCCUGCCCAGCCGGCUGAGGUACUGAUGAGACCUUCCAUCACUAAGACUCAAAUACGCAACAGCUCUCAAGUGCCUGGAUUUAGUCCUGGCUUUGGGGUUUCCCCCUCAUGGUGUGGCCAUUCCAAUAUUCUUACCUCCUUUCUACUGAGGGACCUUUCAGAGGUAAGGAAACUGAGUCAGGGAGACCUCUUAAACAUCUUUCUCCACAAUCCAUGUCUGAGGUGCGGGGUGGGACGGGACGGGGGAGGGGGAUGGAGUGGGGGGGGACCGUAGCCUCAGGCGCUCCAAGUCCAGCUCUAGCUCAGUUGAGUCACCAAGAAUGUCUCCGAGCGCCCACCGCAGGUGGCUGAGGUGCUGGCGUGUGCCCCACCCGCUCCCCCGGCCUUCCCACCUACUGGUUCGGCGGCUGCACCUGGACAGUUCAUGACCCGCGUGGGCAGCAGCGGAUCGGCUAUGAAGAAUUGGAAUCCGGGUUUCACCACACUUACCGCGCUCUAUGCUGCUCCGCGCCAAUGCCAACCGCAGACUCAAAGCCAUGCUGAACGCAGUCCAGAACAGCAUCGCGCCUAGAGUGGCGGGCUCUUGAUCGACCACAGCUGGCUGCUAACUUGCCCUCCUACCGUGAGUCAGGCCCCACCCACCUCGGAGAAGCCACACCCACUCGCGGCCACUCCUGCUUGGGAGGCGCGUGCACUCAGUCGCGCGCGCAGAGGCCAAUCUGCACAGACUGCACGGUGAUGCAUGCCAUAGCGGUCCCGGACUUGCGGUGACACGCAGCAACCACAAAGGCAUAUAGGUGUGGGCGUGUGCUGACAGACAUUCCCAUCUCUCUUUUGCAGGCGGCAAUAUGUGUUGUCCAUAUUCUCCUCCUCACUCCUCCUCCCCUACUCCUUAAGGUUCCCCCCCCCCCCCCCCCCCGCACCCCGCAGUUGCUGAUCUGCAAAGCUCCUGAAGACAGGAGUGCCUUACAAGACAAAAGAACCUUAGAAGUGGGGCUAUACAAAGAAGCAACCUUCUCUCAACAAGGACCCAAUUUGGCUAUAAACUGGAGGAGCAGCGGGUUUUCUCCAAAGACUUGAAAGCAAUGACGCAGCCUUCAGAGGAGACAGGAGCAUAAGAGAAGCUUCUUACAGAAUGAAGAGCCUCCACCUUGCCAGAACUCUCACCUGAAUUCUUGGAGGAAAAGACAUAGUGGCCUAUUGCUGUCCUAUGUACUACCCAAACAGGGCUCCAGGGCUACACCCAGGUCAGACCCCAGCAGGAUUAGAGACCCACUGGCCAUCUAAAGCUGGGUCCUGCAGUCAGUGCUAAGCCCAGACCAAAGGAAGCUGUCUACAAGUGUUGUUCACAGGACAUUGAGCCCUUCAGAAGGGCUGCACAGACCGCGGCCCUUAAGAUGCUUUCCUGUAAAUAAUUAUAGUAUUUGGAAUGGAGGCCCACAUAGGAGGGGGUGUUGUCUGGCAGGAUGUCUCCUCCCUUCCCACUCUCAGCAAGAGGAUGCUCAGCAGGGAGGACGGAUGGGACUCAAUGGUUUUACUUCCUCCAUUUCUGGCAGGUGAGACACUGUGGGGCCUUGAGGACUGUGCCUGAGCUCUGCUUUGCCUAAAAAAGGAAGCAAUACAGCUGAGCCUGAGAAGCUAGCUGCAGGAACAAGUAAGAGCUAUGUCCUGCUGCCGUCCCCCACCCCGUUGCCGGGAAUCUUGGCACUGGGUGUUGGCUUCACUCCACAGACCUCAGGCCUCUGAAUGGACCAGAAAGUUCUCGAUGCUUCUGCCUGAGCCUUGAGGAUGAGAGCAGUGCAUGUGAGUCCCUCAAAGACUGUGGACACCAACAACCUCCAGCUCCAGAUACAUUGUUGCAUUGUGAAUAAGCAGAGGACACAGGGUAUCCAGAAGAAUCUUAUUAUGUCAGGCUUGCUCUGCCAGGGAGCUGGGUCUUAGAGGAAGGAGAGGCUCAUAGCCCUCAAGCCUACAGUCAUACCUCAGUCUGCCCUAUUUCCAACCCUUCUGGAAAAAAUGAUCAGGUCUUCUUGGCUGUGACUCAGGGAAGUAGCUUUCUCUUUCCUUUGGCCUCACCAUCAGAUGGAGAGAGCACAAGAGACCCAGUCUCCACCAAGCCCUAUCCAAACUGGGCUCAACCUGCCGGACUUGGGCUCAGGCCAAGUUGCUUCUGCUGCCAAAUUCCUUGGGACACCCUUUCUAUCAUCCAUAUCUCCUGCUCAGCCACC